ACCUGGUUGAUCCUGCCAGUAGUCAUAUGCUUGUCUCAAAGAUUAAGCCAUGCAUGUCUCAGUGCAAGCCGCAUUAAGGUGAAACCGCGAAUGGCUCAUUAAAUCAGUUAUGGUUCCUUGGAUCCUACUUAUCCUACUUGGAUAACUGUGGUAAUUCUAGAGCUAAUACAUGCAACCAGAGCCCUGCCCAGAAAUGGGCAGGGCGCAUUUAUUAGAUCAAAACCAAUCGGUCGGGUUCGCCCUUCCGUGGUCUUGGUGACUCUGAAUAACCGCUGCUGAUCGCACGGCCUUUGUGCCGGCGACGUAUCUUUCGAAUGUCUGCCUUAUCAACUGUCGAUGGUAGGUUCUGCGCCUACCAUGGUUGUAACGGGUAACGGGGAAUCAGGGUUCGAUUCCGGAGAGGGAGCCUGAGAAACGGCUACCACAUCCAAGGAAGGCAGCAGGCGCGCAAAUUACCCACUCCCGGCACGGGGAGGUAGUGACGAAAAAUAACGAUACGGGACUCAUCCGAGGCCCCGUAAUCGGAAUGAGAACACUUUAAAUCUUUUAACGAGUACCUAAUGGAGGGCAAGUCUGGUGCCAGCAGCCGCGGUAAUUCCAGCUCCAUUGGCGUAUAUUAAAGUUGUUGCGGUUAAAAAGCUCGUAGUUGGAUCUGUGUAUCGGACGGUCGGUUCGCCGCUCGCGGCGUUUAACUGACCGGUCCGGACGUCCUGCCGGUGGGCGCCGGUUCGCGCCGGGGCCCGUAACUCCCUCCGCGCUGCUCUUAACCGAGUGGUUCGGUGGGCCGGCACGUUUACUUUGAACAAAUUUGAGUGCUCAAAGCAGGCCUUUUGUCGCCUGAAAACUGUGUGCAUGGAAUAAUGGAAUAGGGCCUUGGUUCUAUUUUGUUGGCUUUUCUGAACUCGAGGUAAUGAUUAAUAGGGACAGACGGGGGCAUUCGUAUUGCGACGUUAGAGGUGAAAUUCUUGGAUCGUCGCAAGACGGACGGAUGCGAAAGCGUUUGCCAAGAAUGUUUUCGCUAAUCAAGAACGAAAGUUAGAGGUUCGAAGGCGAUCAGAUACCGCCCUAGUUCUAACCAUAAACGAUGCCAGCCAGCGAUGCGCCGAAGUUCCUCCGAUGACUCGGCGCGCAGCUUCCGGGAAACCAAAGCUUUUGGGUUCCGGGGGAAGUAUGGUUGCAAAGCUGAAACUUAAAGGAAUUGACGGAAGGGCACCACCAGGAGUGGAGCCUGCGGCUUAAUUUGACUCAACACGGGAAACCUCACCAGGCCCGGACAUCGGAAGGAUUGACAGAUUGAGAGCUCUUUCUUGAUUCGAUGGGUGGUGGUGCAUGGCCGUUCUUAGUUGGUGGAGCGAUUUGUCUGGUUAAUUCGAUAACGAA
rnacentral:rRNA from 1 species